CCGCCUGUUAUCUCAUCAGGCGACAACAUGCUCCCCGGCUGAAAUUAGACCUCCGCCGCUGUAUCUUUGAUUAUAUGAAGUGUGUUCGUCAUAUCGCUGCUGAGUUACUGAAACCCAGAGGCGCUCACAGCUCAGCCGCGGCUCGUUCACCCGGAGCAGACAUGUGUAAAGAGCUGAAGACCAAAGUGCUGCAUCUGUUAGCGCCGACCUCCAAUGGGCCGAGUGUUCGUCAGGAGGGCCACACAGAUGGUGCUGAAAUCCUGAGUUGCACGGUGAAGGCUCUGAGGGAGGGUCAUGUGGUCGCCGUGCCCACAGACACCAUCUAUGGCCUGGCGUGUCUGGCCCAGAACUCUGAAGCCGUCAAAAAAAUCUAUGAAAUCAAAGAACGAAAUGGACACAAACCGCUGGCCAUCAGUGUGGGAGAAAUCCAGGAUAUCUACAAGUACUGUAAGGUGAAGGUGAAGGAGGCGCUGUUGGCUGACCUGCUGCCUGGUCCCGUCACUCUGGUGUUUGAGAGAUCUGAAGUGCUGAACACAGACCUGAACCCCUUCACUCCACUUGUAGGCGUACGUAUCCCAGACCAUGACUUCAUGAGACGCCUCUGCCAAAUGUGUGCUGAACCACUCGCACUUACCAGCGCCAACGUCAGCUCACACACCAGCACCGUGGCGGUUCAUGUAAGUGGAAGAAGGAGUUUCAGGAGCUCUGGCCAAACCUAGCAGUGGUGGUGGACGGCGGACCGAUUGGAGACAACAGCCGCCUCGGAUCAACAGUGGUCGACCUAUCAGUGCUCGGCAAAUACCGCAUCAUCAGACCCGGCUGUGCCCUUUCUUCUACGGUUGAUGUGCUGGAGCACAAAUACGGACUGUCAGAGGACUCUGGGGGAAAAUGACCUUUGAACUCUCCACAACACACGCUGAGACGCACAACCAGCUUUGACCCCGGGGCUUCUUCAGAAAAGAUGAAUCCUUUUCAUGUUCACGUGGAAGUCUUUCUGGGGAGGACGAGAACUCAGGAACAACUGGAUGGCAGAUAAUGUUCUGGUGGCUGCUUUAAGGUCUGGAGUAACUUUUACCUUUUGAUAACCAUAUUUUCUGCCUUACUGUGUCUGCUAUCAUGGGAUUAUGUGGGAUCUCAACAUAGAACAGGUCACCUAUACAGUAUGGGAUUCUUUUUUUUAUUUUAUUUUUUGCAUAAAAUUAAAACUAUGUAUCUUUUGUGUCAUCAAAACAGGUGGUUUAACUGAUAUGAACGGUUUGAGUUUUUAUUUUAAUAUUUCUAUAAUGGUAAGAGGUGAUGAAGACUCCUAUUUUAUGGCCUGAAUAGUUAUUUGUGAUACGAGGUGGGAGGAACUCUUGAGAAUUGUAUUGACUAUAGAUUAAGCCUUUUGAAUCCAGAACUAUUUUUUACUAACUUAUGAAUCCCCUGUAUUUAUUUGAUCCGCAUGUCAGUUUAACAGCGUGAGGCUCGCUCUACAGUUUGUCAACAACUACAGUCACAAUAACUGUUUUGUCGUAGUUUAAAGGGACAGUUCACCCCAAAAUAAAAUUUAGAUAUUUUUCCAUUUACUUGUAGUGCUGUUUAUCAGUCUAGAUUGUUUUGGUGUAAGUUGCAGAGUGUUGGAGAUAUCGGCCGUAGAGAUGUUUGGCCUCUCUUGAAUAUAAUGGAACUAGAUGGCACUUGACUUGUGGUGCUCAAAGCGCCAAAUUAUAUUAAAAAAACUCAACAGCAAUGUCUCCUAGAAAUCUGACCGGGUUACUCAAGCUAAUCCUCAGAACUUGUUGUGAGCAGUUUGAUAUAGGAACUAUUUCUUUCUACCAAACUAUACCUGCUAAACGUAUCACUACGCAGAUGGAAGUGUGCAUCCACUCACGUAUGAGAGGCUUGUACUCGUGACAGCACGAGAUGUAAACAUUAAUGGCGUCCUUCUCGGCUGAGCUGUAACAUUAGAUAGCUCAGUGGUGCUAGGUGAGCUAGUUGUAGAUGCACUCUUCCUUCUGUGCUGUGAUACAGUUGGCGGGUUUAGUUCAGUAGAAAGAAAAUAGUUCCUACUAGGGCUGCCCCUGACUAAGAAUUUUCCUAGUUGACCAAUAGUCGUCAUUUAGGGCCAUUAGUCGACUAGUCGCCUGCAUGUUUAUGAUAUUUAUUCAAUUAUUAAAUGAUAUAUUUUGGGCGGGGCAACACAAUGGUUUGAGUUGAAGGUGUGAGAAAGAAUAGUAUCAGUAACAUUGUUAACAUUGUAUUGAGAAAUACAAACCGUACUAAUGAACCUUCAUUAAUAUAGGCCUAUAUUUUAUCUACAAGUGCACGUCACACACUGAGCGAGCCGCCUGUUAAUGAUGCUGUCGGCAAAGCAGUAAUGAUUGUGCUAAGUGGCUAAUGGGCAUGUAGCUACUUCCAUGUUUCAGAUGAUACGUCAUGUUUGUAGUCGACCAAUGAAGAUGAGUUUACAUAUUACCUUGGGUUCGUCCUUCACCUUCUCAAAAUGAUCCCACACUGUGGAUUUCCUGCCCGGCAUGUUAUUAACUAGCCUGUGGAAUAACCGCAGGUACCAGCCUGGGAAAUUAGGGGCCGUACACAUGCUGCGUCUUUAGCCGCCUGGAAAACUUGAGGUCGGGCGCUGGAUGCUACUCUUGCGGUUUUUUUUGUGCUGGCUUUCAAGAGCACGGUGGCGCUUUGCGUGAUUGAAGACAGACAACUCACACCCAAACAAUCUAGAUUGGUAAACAGCACUACUGAUAAAAUAUAUUUUUGAUUUUGAACUAUCCAUUUAAACUAUAUUUCAUUCACAAAUUGGGAACAUAUUUCAGAGAUGUGUCGAUUAGCACAUGUACUAAGUGGAAACUCAUAAUGAAAUUCUUCCUCCCACCUGUAUGUUAAAAAUGAGCAUUGUUUUAAAUUCCCAUCACCUGCUGUAAACUUAUUUUAAUGGACUGUAAAACCUUUGCACAGCCACAAUAAAAUGUUUUUUUCAGUA